rnacentral:rRNA from 1 species
UGGGGAAUUUUGGACGAAUUGGGCGAAAGCCUGAUCCAGCAAUGCCGCGUGUGUGAAGAAGGCCUUCGGGUUGUAAAGCACUUUUGUCCGGAAAGAAAUCCUUGGCUCUAAUGCAGUCGGGGGAUGACGGUACCGGAAGAAUAAGCACCGGCUAACUACGUGCCAGCAGCCGCGGUAAUACGUAGGGUGCAAGCGUUAAUCGGAAUUACUGGGCGUAAAGCGUGCGCAGGCGGUUUGCUAAGACCGAUGUGAAAUCCCCGGGCUCAACCUGGGAACUGCAUUGGUGACUGGCAGGCUAGAGCAUGGCAGAGGGGGGUAGAAUUCCACGUGUAGCAGUGAAAUGCGUAGAGAUGUGGAGGAAUACCGAUGGCGAAGGCAGCCCCCUGGGCCAAUACUGACGCUCAUGCACGAAAGCGUGGGGAGCAAACAGGAUUAGAUACCCUGGUAUCCACGCCCUAAAGAU